rnacentral:rRNA from 1 species
AUUGAACGCUGGCGGCAGGCCUAACACAUGCAAGUCGGGCGAGUGGCGGACGGGUGAGUAAUGUCUGGGAAACUGCCUGAUGGAGGGGGAUAACUACUGGAAACGGUAGCUAAUACCGCAUACCAUCAGAUGAACCCAUAUGGGAUUAGCUAGUGGGUAGGGUAACGGCUAACCUAGGCGACGAUCCCUAGCUGGUCUGAGAGGAUGACCAGCCAAACGGGAACUGAGACACGGCCCAGACUCCUACGGGAGGCAGCAGUGGGGAAUAGUGCACAAUGGGCGCAAGCCUGAUGCAGCCAUGCCGCGUGUGUGAAGAAGGCCUUCGGGUUGUAAAGUACUUUCAGCCGGGAGGCGUUACCGACAGAAGAAGCACCGGCUAACUCCGUGCCAGCAGCCGCGGUAAUUC